GAUGAACGCUAGCGGCAGGCUUAAUACAUGCAAGUCGAGGGGCAGCAGUUUUGUAGCAAUACAGAAGCUGGCGACCGGCAAACGGGUGCGGAACACGUACGCAACCUUCCUUUAACUGGAAGAUAGCCCACCGAAAGGUGGUUUAAUACUCCAUAAUAUAUUGAAGAGGCAUCUUUUUGAUAUUAAAGCUCCGGCGGUUAAAGAUGGGCGUGCGCCUGAUUAGGUAGUUGGCGGGGUAACGGCCCACCAAGCCUCCGAUCAGUAGCUGAUGUGAGAGCAUGAGCAGCCACACGGGGACUGAGACACGGGCCCGACUCCUAUGGGAGGCAGCAGUAAGGAAUAUUGGUCAAUGGACGCAAGUCUGAACCAGCCAUGCCGCGUGGAGGAUGAAGGCCCUCUGGGUUGUAAACUUCUUUUCUUUGGGACGAAACCCCUGUUUCUACGGGGACUGACGGUACCAGAGGAAUAAGCACCGGCUAACUCCGUGCCAGCCGCCGCGGUAACAC
rnacentral:rRNA from 1 species